UCAUAUUCUCUGCACAUUUGAUAUAACUCGUACUUUGCACAAGUCACAUAAGUUGUGACUUAUGUGAGGUUUACUGUGAUGUAACGUAUCCACUCUCUCCCUCCAGCUUGCUGGCUGUAUCACAGGCAAAAUAGCAGCGAUUGGUUUAUGGGUUUUAAAAAGUCCGGUUAGAGAACAGAACCUGAUCUUAACCAGGAAAAAUGGAACAAACCAGCUUCGACAGAGCAAAAGGCAAACGCUGCCCCUUUUUUGCUUUGCUUUGGGACGCGGCCAUGAAAUGGACACUGCGAUCACUCUCGAGAGGAAAGCAAUGGAGAACAUUACGUGGACAGAAGAACUCAAGGUGGCAGAGGGCAGCUGGUAGUUACCUACAGACCUUUACCCCACCCAGAGAAGAAAAGGGGAGAGGGGAUAUGCGGGAGGGGUGUGACAAGAGGAGGCGGAGUUACAAACACACAGAAGAUGUAACUUUGGAAUAGUUGGGAGUUGUCGUAAAGUGUCAGCGCAUUUCCCAGUGUGAAUUGAUAUCGAUUUUGCUGUAUCUAUGGUCUCAGUUUUAAGAAUAAGUCUGGCUAUUUGUAUUACAUAAUAAACUUUGGAUUAUUACA